AGCGAACGCUGGCGGCAGGCCUAACACAUGCGAGUCGAACGAAGUCUUCGGACUUAGUGGCGGACGGGUGAGUAACACGUGGGAACGUGCCUUUAGGUUCGGAAUAACUCAGGGAAACUUGUGCUAAUACCGAAUGUGCCCUUCGGGGGAAAGAUUUAUCGCCUUUAGAGCGGCCCGCGUCUGAUUAGCUAGUUGGUGAGGUAAAGGCUCGCCAAGGCGACGAUCAGUAGCUGGUCUGGGAGGAUGAUCAGCCACAUUGGGACUGAGACACGGCCCAAACUCCUACGGGAGGCAGCAGUGGGGAAUCUUGCGCAAUGGGCGAAAGCCUGACGCAGCCAUGCCGCGUGAAUGAUGAAGGUCUUAGGAUUGUAAAAUUCUUUCACCGGUGAAGAUAAUGACGGUAUCCGGAGAAGAAGCCCCGGCUAACUUCGUGCCAGCCGCCGCGGUAACAC
rnacentral:rRNA from 1 species